rnacentral:rRNA from 1 species
CUACGGGAGGCUGCAGUGAGGAAUAUUGCACAAUGGGGGGAACCCUGAUGCAGCAACGCCGCGUGGAGGAUGACGCAUUUCGGUGUGUAAACUCCUUUUAUAUGUCAAGAAAAUGACGGUAGCAUAUGAAUAAGCACCGGCUAACUCCGUUCCAGCAGCCGCGGUAAUACGGAGGGUGCAAGCGUUACUCGGAAUCACUGGGCGUAAAGGACGCGUAGGCGGGAUAUCAAGUCAGGUGUGAAAUCCUACAGCUUAACUGUAGAACUGCACUUGAAACUGGUAACCUAGAGUAUGGGAGGGGGAGAUGGAAUUAGUGGUGUAGGGGUAAAAUCCGUAGAUAUCACUAGGAAUACCUAAAGCGAAGGCGAUCUCCUGGAACAUAACUGACGCUAAGGCAUGAAAGCGUGGGGAGCAAACAGGAUUAGAUACCCUUGUAGUC